GCCCUGGUAGUUCAACGGAUAGAAUAGAAGUUUCCUAAACUUUUGAUAGCGGUUCGAUUCCGCUCCGGGGUACCA
rnacentral:tRNA from 2 species